rnacentral:rRNA from 1 species
GACGAACGCUGGCGGCGUGCCUAAUACACGCAAGUUGAGCGCUGAAGGUUGGUACUUGUACCGACUGGAUGAGCAGCGAACGGGUGAGUAACGCGUGGGGAAUCUGCCUUUGAGCGGGGGACAACAUUUGGAAACGAAUGCUAAUACCGCAUAAAAACUUUAAACACAAGUUUUAAGUUUGAAAGAUGUAAUUGCAUCACUCAAAGAUGAUCCCGCGUUGUAUUAGCUAGUUGGUGAGGUAAAGGCUCACCAAGGCGAUGAUACAUAGCCGACCUGAGAGGGUGAUCGGCCACAUUGGGACUGAGACACGGCCCAAACUCCAACGGGAGGCAGCAGUAGGGAAUCUUCGGCAAUGGACGAAAGUCUGACCGAGCAACGCCGCGUGAGUGAAGAAGGUUUUCGGAUCGUAAAACUCUGUUGGUAGAGAAGAACGUUGGUGAGAGUGGAAAGCGCAUCAAGUGACGGUAACUACCCAGAAAGGGACGGCUAACUACGUGCCAGCCGCCGCAGUAACAC